rnacentral:rRNA from 1 species
GAUUAACGCUGGCGGCGUGCAUAACACAUGCAAGUCGAACGAUGAAACUCAUUAGAUUUCUUCGGAAUGAAAAUGAAUGGAUUAGUGGCGAACGGGUGAGUAACGCGUGAGUAACCUGCCUUACACAAGGGGAUAGCCUCUGGAAACGGAGAAUAAUACCCUAUGAAACCAGACAAUCGCAUGAUAAUCUGGUCAAAAUGUUUAGUGGUGUAAGAUGGACUUGCGUCUGAUUAGCUAGUUGGUGAGAUAAAAGCUCACCAAGGCAACGAUCAGUAGCCGGCUUGAGAGAGUGUACGGCCACAUUGGGACUGGGACAAGGCCCAGACUCCUGCGGGAGGCAGCAGUGGGGAAUUUUGCACAAUGGGGGAAACCCGGAUGCAGCGACGCCGCGUGAUUUAGAAGGCCUUCGGGUUGUAAAAAUCUUUUGUAUAGGAAGAAAAUGACAGUACUAUACGAAUAAGGUCCGGCUAAUUACGUG